rnacentral:rRNA from 1 species
UACAGAGGCCUCGAGCGUUAGGCGGAAUUACUGGGCUUAAAGCGUGUGCAGGUGGCUGCCUAAGUACCUUGUGAAAUCCCACAGCUUAACUGUGGAAUUGCUUGGUAUACUGGGUGUCUUGAGCCACUCAGGGGCUACCGGAACAAAUGGUGGAGCGGUGAAAUGCGUAGAUAUCAGUUGGAACGCCAAUGGUGAAGGCAAGUAGCUGGCGGUGUGCUGACACUGAGACACGAAAGCCAGGGGAGCAAACGGG